UACGUAGGGGGGCAAGCGUUGUCCGGAAUCAUUGGGCGUAAAGCGCGUGUAGGCGGUUACGUAAGUCUGCUGUGAAAGUCGGAGGCUCAACCUUCGAAAGCCGGUGGAUACUGCGUGACUAGAGUACGGAAGAGGAGAGUGGAAUUCCUGGUGUAGCGGUGAAAAUGCGCAGAUAUCAGGAGGAACACCAACGGCGAAGGCAGCUCUCUGGGACGUUACUGACGCUGAGACGCGAAAGCGUGGGGGAGCAAACAGG
rnacentral:rRNA from 1 species